ACAGAGCCCGUGAUCCGGGCGCGCGGAAUUCAGGACCGAUCGGCGGACGUUCGCGUCUCGUCGGUCGACUCGAUAUUUCCGUCGCCGACCCUCAACCGAGGGUGUCGGACGUCGCGACCCGUUCGCCAUUUUGUCGAUGCUCAGGGACGCGUCGCCAGUUCGCCAGCGCCGUCGCCUCGGCGGCGGCGCGACGAUGGCGCGUUUCCGUUGUUUUCGACGCGGACGGUAGCUUUGCGCGCGGGUAUUCGACGCGGCCCACUCGUUCGGCGUCACUUCGGUGGCGUCGGGCGGGCGCUCGCGUCGACGCCGGUCAGCGACGAAUCUUCGGGCCUCUUUCCGACCCGUCUUGAACACGGGACCAAAAAAGGCAUUUACUCAUAC
rnacentral:rRNA from 1 species